UUAGUGCCCCCUGCUCGCCUGUAGGAUGAGGAGACUGAGACCUCUGAGGUGGAGGUCCCUGCACCAGGUCACCUGGCAGCCUGGCUCAGCGUUAGGAAGGGUGGACUGUACUGGGAAAGCGAACCUUGCAGUCCUGUGCUGUGCUGAGAGACGCCUGCUGAGAUCACUGUUUUUUGUUUCGCUGGCUAAAUUAUGCAGACGUAAAAGGAAUCAUCUGUGGUAAUAUGCCUUACUUUAACAACAAAUUAUUCUAAACUAAUGACUCAUGUGGCUUCCCGCUACAGUGGCUUUGGCUUUCCUUGCAUCUCAAGUUAGUGAGGGGUGUCCUUUCCUUUCAAAGUACAGGGCUCCUCCUGGGGUGCUGUGGCCCUUGGUUAAGCCCUCGUGUUGGGGUUCUCAGAAGCCAUCUUAGUCUGCUAUCAUUGGCUGCGCUAGAAGCAAGGAUAUAUGGUAGGUCAGCAUGCCCUGCAUGUGCUGCUCCAAGGCUUCAGGGCCCAGCCAACCUGCCCACACUGCCUCCUGUCCGUCCUCCUGUCUGUCAGCCUGUUAGUCUCACACCAAGCUCUUCUCUCACCCCUGAUGUCCCCAGCCUCGCCGUUGUAGCCCUGGCGUCCCUCUUGACCCUAAAGCCCAUCCUCAUUGCAGCACGUCAGCAGCUUGGAGACUUCACUGCGGGCCCAUCGCCCUGCCAUCCACAGAGCGCUGGCUCCCACAUCAGCACUAGCUGGUGUUUCCUAGAAUAGGACCUGAAGUGUGGCCCAUUCCCACUGUACUGUGUAGCAGCUUGCUAAAAUACAGGUCUCAGCCCGUUCCUGCUUCUAUAACAAAUGGUACUAGAGUCUGGAUGAUCUAUAAAUGACAGAAAUGGAUUGCUCACAAUUCUGGAGUCCAGGGGUUGAGGGGUCCAAGGUCAAGGCCAGCACUAGAGCCCUGACGGCUCAGUUUCCGAGAUGGCACCUUGCUGCUGUGCUCUCGUGUGUUGGAAGGUCAACGGCUCCUCUGCCCCUCUUUCAUCUCGUUUGAAAGAGUGGUCCCUCCAACCUACUUACCCCAAAAAGGGCCCACCUUUUCACACUACCACGCUAGGGAUUCAGUUCCAACCAAUUCUGUAGAGAUGUCACCUCAGAGCACGGCGAUGUGAGAGGUAUACUGAGACAAACAUGUGACGGGCACACAUGUUUAGAAUGUCGUGGUGGUGAUUGAGAGAUCCUGGGACCCAAGCCUAGACAGUGAGCUGCUCAGAGUGGGGACCAGCCACAGCUGGAUGGGUUUCAGGCAGCAGGCCGUGGGAUGCCAAGGAGAGGAAGCCGGGUCUGCUGGGUCAUAAAAUGGAAACUUCACAGAUCAGUUUCCUCUCCAGAGACAUCUCAGAGACAGAAUUUUGGACAGGAUGAAGUGUCAUUCUGAUGCAUCUUGAAGGAGAGAAAAGAAAAACAAACAAACAAACAGAUAUUUGAGGGGCAAAUUGUCCAGAUACAAGGAACUGAAAACUGACCGUGUAAGCUCCAACCGUGUAAGCUCCAAAAUAUUUGUUGUUUUUGUUUGUUUGUUUGUUUGUUUUAAGCCAGCUUUUUAAAAGUCCUUCUGUUGAAACCCUGCUUUACAUUUGGCUGGUUGAACUCUGCAUUGAAGGUAGACAGAGUGCUUAGCUGUGAAGGACAUUUGAGUCUUUGCCCUGGCUCUCAAAUCAAGAUGGCUGAAGCACAGAGGGGCGGGACUCGGGAGAUGGCUCUGUGAGUAAAGUGUGUGCAGUACAAGCAUGAGGACCCGAGUUCAAUUCCCUGGAGCCCACACAAUGCCAGAUACGGCAGUACACCCCUGUAACCUCAACCCUCCUAUGGCAAGAAGGAGGUGGAGACAGGAGAAUACUUGGGAGUUCUGGAGCCAGCAGCCUGGAGUACGAUGCAAGAAGUUGUUCAAGUUCACGGAAGUGAGAGAACGGAGGAGAACUUCACGGGGAGUGGGAACUGAACUGGUCCCUGCUGAGCCUGGCAGCCCUUCCCUUUCCUGCAGGCCUGUGGUGGCCUCCUAAACACCCACUCACUCUCGGCCAGCACCUGUCUGCACAGCUGCACUCUGGUGAGCGUCCUCGAGGCUCUACGUGUCUGUCUGUCCACCCCCUUCAGGCAGCACUGGAUGGACCUAGUGCAACCCGGAGCACAGGACCAUUCACAGUGCUCUCGGCAGACCGCAGUCCAAGACGCAUGUGGUGUGUUCCCUCCCGUCUCACCCUCUGGUGCACGUCUUGGGCCUGUCUGCACAUGUGCUCAGCACAUACACUGUUGGUCCACCUGUCUCUGCUAUCCCACCUCCCAUGAAACAUUAGCUCCUCACCUGCCCCCAGCCCCUGCUGAUCCUGACCCCCGUGGUCCCCGUGAACCGACCGCUCGAGGGACCUCACAGAUGGCAACAGAUGAUUCUUGGCUUUCGGGACUAGCACGUUGCACUCUGCAGGCACCAUCACGCUUCGUCUUGCUGUUUUGGGCAUCGGUGGUGCUUUAUUGAUGGGUUCAGUGUCAGCUUCUUCAGAGGUGCCCAGGAGAGAGGACUCGCUGUUCCAGGCCGCCACCAGGCAGAGCCUACGUGGAAACCUGCCACCUUCUGCACUACCAGGUUCCUCUGGAUUCGAGGCCUGGAGGCCCCGUGUCUUCCAGGACCUACGUUGACCUUAGCCUGGCUCUCCCGGUCCCCCCACGGUGCUGCUCACCUCCAGGACUGCGGCCUCGCCUUUGCCCUACAUCUAAACAACAUGUUUCCUUUCCUGCCAGCGGCCUUUGAGGGCAUUCCCAUGACUUCCGACUGAAGACCUCCAGCUUCCUUUGCCUCGCUGACCUUCAGCACCCCAGGCUUCCCCUUGGGACCAGGUUCUGCCUGUGGGGUUACUCGCCACCUUGUUUCCCUCACAAAUUACAAGGACCACGGGGAGCCCUGCUCCUGGCACUCAGAGCACCGAGCACAGUGAGCAUGGCCUGCCCCUUCCUAUCUCAGGUGCAGCCAGCCCCGGGUGGGUGUUUUCACACACUCACAAUACUUGUUUGUGUGCGCUGACGUCACCAUAGGCACUGCAGUGUUGUGUGAGUGAUUGGAAGUCACUCAGAGGACGUCCCUACACACAGAUCCCUCAUCUUUACAAAGAAGGGACCGGAGCUCCUCCGGGCUUUGGUGGACUUUGUGGAGCUGGUGUCCUGUGGUUUCUACACGACACCUAGAUUCGCGUGAGUUCAAUCAUCUUUUUGUCACUCAGAUUGGACUUCCUAGUAAAUUGCAUCCUCCGCCCACAGUGAUGUUUUGGUCCCUGCCUUAACCACAGAGCACAUUUGCAGCAAUGCCCUGUGCCCUGUGCUACCAACACGUGCAUUUUAUAAUGUUAAGUUUCA